AGAGUUUGAUCCUGGCUCAGAUUGAACGCUGGCGGCACGCCUAACACAUGCAAGUCGAGCGGCAGCAUGAUUAGUAGCAAUACUAGUUGAUGGCGAGCGGCGGACGGGUGAGGAACACGUAGGAACCUAUCCUCGAGAGGGGGACAACCAAGGGAAACUUUGGCUAAUACCGCGUAAACUCGAGAGAGCAAAGCUGUCGC
rnacentral:rRNA from 1 species